CUGAGCUGGAAGUUGCUGAGGGCGGCUGGCCAGGGCUCAGACCCAGUGUUUUAGAUUGAAAUCAGCAUCCAGGUUGUUCCAAGCGCUUGGUCCCUCCCCCCAACCCCCGACCCCUGUUUUUUCUUAAUUGGAGUUCGGGAGAAGGGAGAAAGCAAGAAGUGAUAGAGAAUAAGACAGCACAAGGUGGAAGAUGCUUACUGCUUUGGUUGCCCAGAAGAACUAUGGCUGUCACUGAUAAUCAUGACUGACAGAUCAGCAAGGAAAGCCUGCCAGACCUUCCCUCGUUCCUAGCCAAGACUCAACACCGAUUAAACUUCUCAAUUUGUAAUUUACUAAACUUUCUAAUCACAAGUUUUGGCCUUAAAGAAACAAGCAAGCAAACAAACAAAGCCAACACUAAAAACAAGCAACCAAACCCAAAACAGAAACAUAAAUAUUGAUUUCUUGACUAAUGCAUAGCCACUGAUUUUAAAAACUCUGUGUAUAUUCCAGAAGUCACUGAUACGUGUAAUCCAUUUGAUCCACACAAGGAUAAAACAAAGACAAAUUAAGAGAAUUAGGACUAAAUUCCCUUUUGAGUCUGGUAAAGCCAUUCCUGUCUCACUAAGGAAUUAUCUGCCUCUAGUUUCUCUCGAAAAAUCCAUAGAAGUAAUCUACCGAAGUUUUGUGCCGAAGUUUUCCAUCUCAUCUGAAGAAGCAAAGAAGACCUAGAGAACCUAGAGACCUAGAGCACAAUGUUUCAGGAUCAGAAAGGAAGAAGCAACUGGAGAUGGCUAUAAAAGGAGAAGCAGAAGAGGCAAUCCCAGAACUCGCCAAAGAAAGAUGGUGGUGAACUAAGGGGUGGAACCCUUGGCCCCUGCAGUGGAAGCAUGGAGUCGUGAGCACUGGACCGCUGGGGAGGUCCCAACAGUUCUUACUUCUAAAUGAACCUUUGGAAAACAAACUAUUUAUAAUUUGGGUACUGACCUUAC